AGUAGGCUGUGCAGAUGUAGGAAAUGGCAGGGGAGAAAAGAAUAAAAGCAAGUUAAAAUUAGGUCCAGACACGUCUAAAUGCUGUUUUUUUUUUAAUGGCUUAAAUUUGUUUCUUUGUUUGUUUGUUUGUUUGUUUGUUUAGGUAAUCUCUACACCCAAUGUGGGGCUUGAGCUCACAACUCCAAGAUCAAGAGUUGCAUGCUCUUCCGACUGAUACUAGUUUUGACUCAGUAAGGGCCCACUACAUCCAAUCAUAGAGAAGUUUGCUGACCCCUUUUCUAGAAGUUGGCUCAAAUCCGCUAAUAGCAUCUACAGAAGAAAAAUCAUUGUGGUCCAGGUAAAGAUUAUUACCAAGAGAAGUUAUAUGAGUAGAGAAAGUAAAGUUUUCAUUUAGGAAAACAGGUUUGGCCAUAAAUUGAUAAUCACUGAAGCUGGUUAUGGAUACUUGUAGGUUCCUUAUUUGUAUGCCAUCUAAUUUUGUUUUUGGAAAACUCCAUAAUAAAAGUUUUUGAAGUUGUUUUAAAUAGUUUGAAACAAAAGACUUUUGAAUAAAAUUAAACUGUAUCUAUAUAAUAAAAUACUAGAUACAUGUUAAAUUACUUGUAGACUGUAUUAUGUAAACAUGUUCAUAAUAUAAUUGUGUCAUUGUAACAGAGCUAUUAAAGGCAUGGGAAAUUUUAUCUGCUCUGCUGUGUC